CCUACGGGAGGCAGCAGUGAGGAAUAUUGGUCAAUGGGCGCGAGCCUGAACCAGCCAAGUCGCGUGAGGGAAGACGGUCCUAUGGAUUGUAAACCUCUUUUGUCGGGGAGCAAAAGACGCCACGCGUGGCGUUCCGAGAGUACCCGAAGAAAAAGCAGCGGCCAACUCCGUGCCAGCAGCCGCGGUAAUACGGAGGAGGCGAGCGUUAUCCGGAUUUAUUGGGUUUAAAGGGUGCGCAGGCGGAAGAUCAAGUCAGCGGUAAAAUUGCGAGGCUCACCCUCUUCGAGCCGUUGAAACUGGUUUUCUUGAGUGCGUGAGAAGUCUGCGGCAUGCGUGGUGUAGCGGUGCAAUGCCUCGAUCUCCCGCAGAACUCCGAUUGCG
rnacentral:rRNA from 1 species